UCCCAUUCAGUCUUUGAGUCAAGCAGGGAA
rnacentral:piRNA from 1 species